CGAACGGGAUGCUUAGGCAUCUAGUGGCGGACGGGUGAGUAACGCGUGAGAAUCUGGCUCCAGGUCGGGGAUAACAGUUGGAAACGACUGCUAAUACCGGAUGUGCCGAGAGGUGAAAGAUUUAUUGCCUGGAGAUGAGCUCGCGUCUGAUUAGCUAGUUGGUGGUGUAAGGGACCACCAAGGCAUCGAUCAGUAGCUGGUCUGAGAGGAUGAUCAGCCACACUGGGACUGAGACACGGCCCAGACUCCUACGGGAGGCAGCAGUAGGGAAUUUUCCGCAAUGGGCGAAAGCCUGACGGAGCAAUACCGCGUGAGGGAGGAAGGCUCUUGGGUCGUAAACCUCUUUUCUCAAGGAAGAAGAAAGUGACGGUACUUGAGGAAUAAGCAUCGGCUAACUCCGUGCCAGCAGCCGCGGUAAUACGGAGGAUGCAAGCGUUAUCCGGAAUGAUUGGGCGUAAAGGGUCUGCAGGUGGAACUGAAAGUCUGCUGUUAAAGAGUUUGGCUUAACCAAAUAAAAGCGGUGGAAACUACAGAACUAGAGUGCGGUAGGGGCAAAAGGAAUUCCUGGUGUAGCGGUGAAAUGCGUAGAUAUCAGGAAGAACACCGGUGGCGAAAGCGUUUUGCUAGACCGUAACUGACACUGAGGGACGAAAGCUAGGGGAGCGAAUGGGAUUAGAUACCCCAGUAGUCCUAGCCGUAAACGAUGGAUACUAGGCGUGGCUUGUAUCGACCCGAGCCGUGCCGGAGCUAACGCGUUAAGUAUCCCGCCUGGGGAGUACGCACGCAAGUGUGAAACUCAAAGGAAUUGACGGGGGCCCGCACAAGCGGUGGAGUAUGUGGUUUAAUUCGAUGCAACGCGAAGAACCUUACCAAGACUUGACAUCCUGCGAAUCCUGGUGAAAGCUGGGAGUGCCUUCGGGAGCGCAGAGACAGGUGGUGCAUGGCUGUCGUCAGCUCGUGUCGUGAGAUGUUGGGUUAAGUCCCGCAACGAGCGCAACCCUCGUUUUUAGUUGCCAGCAUUAAGUUGGGCACUCUAGAGAGACUGCCGGUGACAAACCGGAGGAAGGUGAGGAUGACGUCAAGUCAGCAUGCCCCUUACGUCUUGGGCUACACACGUACUACAAUGCUACGGACAGAGGGCAGCGAGCCAGGGAUGGCAAGCGAAUCCAGAAACCGUAGCUCAGUUCGGAUCGAAGGCUGCAACUCGCCUUCGUGAAGGAGGAAUCGCUAGUAAUUGCAGGUCAGCAUACUGCAGUGAAUUCGUUCCCGGGCCUUGUACACACCGCCCGUCACACCAUGGAAGUUGGUCACGCCCGAAGUCAUUACCCCAACCGAAAGGAGGGGGAUGCCUAAGGUAGGACUGGUGACUGGGGUGAAGUCGUAACAAGGUAGCCGUACCGGAAGGUGUGGCUGGAUCACCUCCUUU
rnacentral:rRNA from 1 species